GCCCCGCCCCGCGCCGGGUGUCCGCCGUCGCCACCGCCGGGGCAAGGGAGCGCUUCCCCAACUUGGAAAGCGGGGCCGCAGCGCCCGCCGCCGGCGGGGCAGCCAUGGAGGCAGCGGCGCGGAGGCGGCAGCAUCCGGGAGCGGCGGGAGGCGCGGGCGCGCAGCCGGGCGCGUCCUUCCUGCAGGCCAGGCACAGCUCCGUCAAGGCUGAUGAAGCUGCCGGCACAGCUCCCUUCCACUUUGACCUCUGGUUCUACUUCACCCUGCAGAACUGGGUUCUGGACUUUGGCCGCCCCAUUGCCAUGCUGGUGUUCCCUCUCGAAUGGUUUCCGCUCAACAAGCCCAGCGUGGGGGACUACUUCCACAUGGCCUACAACAUCAUCACGCCCUUCCUUCUGCUCAAGCUCAUUGAGCGGUCCCCCCGCACCCUGCCACGCUCCAUGAUCUACGUCAGCAUCAUCACCUUCGUCAUGGGUGCCAGCAUCCACCUGGUGGGCGACUCCGUGAACCACCGCUUGCUCUUCAGUGGCUACCAGCACCACCUGUCUGUCCGUGAGAAUCCCAUCAUCAAGAACCUCAAGCCGGAGACACUGAUCGACUCCUUUGAGCUGCUCUACUACUACGACGAGUACCUGGGCCACUCCAUGUGGUACAUCCCUUUCUUCCUCAUCCUCUUCAUAUACUUCAGUGGUUGUUUCACUCCCACCAAAGCCGAGAGUUCAGCGCCAGGGGUGGCCCUGCUCCUGGUGAUGCCCAGUGGCCUGUACUAUUGGUACCUGGUCACCGAGGGCCAGAUCUUCAUCCUCUUCAUCUUCACCUUCUUCGCCAUGCUGGCCCUUGUCCUGCACCAGAAGCGGAAGCGCCUCUUCCUGGACAGCAACGGCCUCUUCCUCUUCUACUCCUUUGCGCUCACCCUCCUGCUUGUGGCACUGUGGGUCGCCUGGCUGUGGAAUGACCCUGUACUCAGGAAGAAGUACCCGGGUGUCAUCUACGUCCCUGAGCCCUGGGCCUUCUACACCCUCCACGUCAGCAGCCGACACUGAGUCCCUGGCACCAGCCGCUGGUGCUCUGCCUGGCGGGAGACGGGCCACAGAGAGCGUCUGAGUGUGGUGGGCGGGUGCUUGCGUGCGCGCACACACGUGUGUGUCCAUCCGUGUGUGCAAUCGUGACAAUGCUGGUGGGGGUAGGCGUCUUGCACACGGGCGGGUGUGUGUGUGUGUGUGUGUGUGUGUGUGUGCGUGCGUGCGCGUGCGUGCAGAUGCAUCAUCGUAAUACUCGACUGUUUGGAUCAAGUUUCUCUGUGGCUUUGAUCUUUUCAGGAUGGGAUGUCGUCUUAGGCAGUGUGUCCAGGCCGAGGUCUGGGCCCUGCCUUCUUGUGCACCUGACUGGACUCUUCCCAGGAUGUCUUCUGGUCGCCAUCCUGGAGACGCCUGCUACCUGUAGGCCAGUGGUUCUCGAAGUGUGGCCCUGACUGGCACACGAGGAUGGCAGAGGAAAAUACAAACUGGCCCCUUCUGUCUGCUGAAUCAGAACCUCUGGUGAUGGGGCCCUUCUGGUGAACAAAGUCUCAGCCCUCAGUUGGUAUUGGACGGGGUUUCUAUUUUUCAUGUCCUGUGAUGAUGCCCGGUGCAGAAACUGAGGCACAGAGCAGUGAGAUGAUGCUCCGGGGUCACUCAGCAAAUGAACCCAAGGGAAGGAUUUGAAUCCAACCCAAGAGCAGGAAGCCCAUGUCCCUUCCUCACUCUGUACCACGAGGCCUGGGCAGCGGGGUGCCCACUGCCCGGCUGCACCACCAUGGUAGGGCUCCCUGCUGCCUCCAGGAUGGUGUGUGAUGGGCCUUAAGUAAGACGGGGUGCAAAGUGCCAGGCACCAAGGAGGAAUUGUCAGCCCCCAGCUUAGUCCCAGGGGAGAGAAAAGACCACCCCCCCACUCCCUCCCCAGGCAGGGACCCCCUUCUGUGUACUCACCGACACUUUCCCGGUGUCCACGGAGGGCUCCCAGGAAGGAACCAGGGCACGUGUCCGUUUGCUACAGAGCAUCAGCGUCCUGAUGCAGGACGAGUCCUGGGGGAGCUCUUUCCGCAGCCUCAUUUUCUCGAAGUGAAACCUGUCGCCCUGGCCGGGCGGUGGCGGGGCAUCAGCUGUGCUCGGGGAAGCUGGAAUCUGACCCGGGCACUGGGCCUGGUCUCCAUGGCAGCCGCGGAUUUAUUACUGGGGCCUCCACCCAGCUUGGCGGACUUUCGACUUGGAGCCGGGAGGAGAGGGACAGAACAGGCGGUUGUGGGAGCCGGGAGCCCACAGGCGACAGCCUGAGGCCCCGCGAUGGCCAAGUUUCUUUCCCAGGACCAAAUUAAUGAGUACAAGGAAUGCUUCUCCCUGUAUGACAAGCAGCAGCGGGGGAAGAUAAAAGCCACUGACCUCAUGGUGGUGAUGAGGUGCCUGGGGGCCAGCCCGACACCUGGAGAGGUGCAGCGGCACCUGCAGACUCACGGGAUCGUGGACGAUCUUUUCAGGGAAGCAGAGAUUGAACCAAAUGGCAAAGUGAAGUAUGAUGAAUUUAUCGACAAGAUCACCAUCCCUGUGCAGGACUACUGAGCGAAGAGGAGCCAAGGCUUAGGGGUCCUGGCCCCACAUCUCUUUUUGACUCGUCAUGGACAUGAGGAAGCAAGUCCUGCACAGCCAAUCUGGAAUACCACGGAUGAUACAGCAGAUACCUAGGAGUUAGAUAGGACAGGAAAGGAAGUUCUGGGCUAAAAUAAUAAACAAGGGUACUUCCCCUCCAAGCUUUUUAAAUGUUUGUCACUGAAUGGUCCCAGGAUGGUUUUAAAGCAAAGUUUUAUCAAUCUCAUUUUCCUACCAGGAAGUAUCGCUUGCCCAAAGCACCUGAGUGGCUUGGUCAUUAGAGCCUGGGCUCAUCUGCACCGACUCCGUGUUCCUAAUUCCGGGUGUUCAGUGGCUAGGACUCCAAGACCCUGUGACCCUGUGACUCGUUCUCACUGAAACCUCUACCCCAGGAAAGGCCUUCUCUUACUACCCCAAGGCCGUUUCUUGUUCAUUCCUGAAAUCCCAGUUGGUUUACCUAGCACCUAGCGUUGUUUACAAAAACAGGCCACACCUCUCUUAGCACUCAAACUGCAGAUUAUCAAAUAGAUUUAAAACUAAACAGAUGCUGUGGUUUCAGUACAAAGCUUGCCAUAUUUCAGUAAGAAAGGGGGAAUGAUGGCUGUAUAUGCAUUACUUACCUCAAAGCAUGUUGCAAGGGAAUUAACUGCCAUGCUUUGAAAUCUCUGGAUGAAUGGUGCUCUGAAACACCAAGCAUUAUCAGUUUUCUUACGGGGAUGGUCCCUUGCAUACCCACGGUAUAUUUUACAGAAGACAAAUUAACUGAAGGCUUUUCUUUUAUUACAUCUAAAGAGCUCUACAUAAACAGGUAACAUUCAAUAGGUAAACAAUUUUUUUCCAAUGCAUGUAAUAAAUAUUUUCACUUGGUACUUUUAUACAAACUGACAUUGGUCUACUAUACAUUUUUAAAAGCCAUUUUACUGGUUUGGCAUGCGGUAUGGAAAUUCUAAGAGAGAAAGUUUUAAGGCAAUGAAUCACAGAUUUAAGUUCAUGGAAUUUAUGGUAACUUUUAUAUCUGUUUAUAUACAUUUCCCCUUUGUUAAUUAAACAAUUAACAGCAGCACACUCUGGGACCACCAGCUAUUCUCCCUCCCUCUUUCUGAAAUCUAAGCUUUGUGUUUUUUUUUUUUUAACUAAAAAACAGAAUUCAACAUGUAUUGAUAAAACAAAAUUCUUACUAAAAUAAUUUUAAAUGUGCUUUAAAGUUCUGAAGAUCUUGAAGUGUCUUAUGGAUUUAAACUUGGAAUUGUUUAAAAAUGUUCUUUCCACAAUUAGUUAGUUUAAAAUUGGGAUAUAUGUUCAUUGUUUCAGACAUUUGACUCAAAGGAAAAUCUGCCAAGAAAUCACAUUUAACAGAAGCUUAAGUGCAAUCUUUCCUAAGUCAGUAACGAUACAGAAUUGUGAUAAUGUCUAAAUUAACAGAAGAAAAACUUUAAUGCUCAAAAUAAAUUAGUCAACCAAGUGUGGCACGAUUAAGGUCAGAUUGUUUUUAAAAAGACGUGUCCAAUAAUGCCCACAAGAUAAUUAAAAGCCACUUCAACCCUGCUAAGUCAAAUAGCUAUUUUAUCAAAAAAUACAGAGUACUGUACAGAAACAGAAACAUAUGUGCACCUACUGGGAAAGCCCACGGCAAGGGGAUGGUGGCAGCUUGCCUAAAGAUUCUGGGAAUCGCUCUUCGUCCACAGACAGCAUGUCAGUGUUGGCGUGGGGUGAGGGUGGGUUAAGGAAAAAACCGAUGAAAUGCCUGUGCACUUCUUCUUCUUCUUUUUUUUUUUUUUUAACUUAGAAGAUAACGGUGCAGGGCAUGACUCUACCAAUAACGACUACCGAUCAAAACAGUCUGAUGGACCAGUGUUGACCAGGAGACCAACAGAGGGAUAGCUACUGCUACUGCGACACUCUGGCAAGCCAACAACUGAAAGAAACAAACUCCUUAGAGUGGAAUGAACUAAAAUCGAAAGACAAUCGAAUGGUUCGUUUCUCCUGUGGAGACAUGACCAAAGCCACUAGACAGACAUUUCUUUCUCCCUAUUUAUUACCUGUUCUUCCUUUAGUCUGGUAUAAUGCAGGACACUGAGGGAAACUCACCAUCCCCAAACCUCAGCUGAAGGAAGGACAGGGAUGGGUUUUUAACUGGAUCAUUCAGAGUUUGGGAUUCAGCACUACACACAAAGUUAUUGAUCAGAAUUUUGAGACCACUAACAACAAUGACAGAAAAACAAAGAAAAGAGGAUACAGAAAACUAUUCAUUUUAGGUAGCUGAAUUAAUAGAAAUGAUGUUUCCUAUUACAGUGUGAAAUAAGAAGCAACACCCCACAACUUGAGUGAUUUCUAUCUCAGUCUGAAUUUAGACACAAAUUAUGGUACUCUUAAAUCUUAGCCUAAGUUAAUAUGGCAACGAGCGUUCUUAAAGAGUUUACUCACCAUAAGAGCAGAUUUAUUAAAACACUAAUUCCUGUUUUCACCGACAA